rnacentral:rRNA from 1 species
UACGUAGGUGGCAAGCGUUACUCGGAAUCACUGGGCAUAAAGGGCGUGUAGGCGGAUAUGUAAGUCCGGUGUAAAAUCCCCCGGCUCAACCGGGGAAGGCCAUCGGAGACUGCAUGUCUGGAGUGCGGGAGGGGAGAGUGGAACUCUUGGUGGAGCGGUGAAAUGCGUAGAUAUCAAGAGGAACGCCGGUGGCGAAAGCGGCUCUCUGGCCCGUUACUGACGCUGAGGCGCGAAAGCUAGGGGAGCAAACGGG